GAAACCUCACCUUGCCACACGCCAUCCGGGCGCCAGAGCAGUAAAACACGGACAUUCCCGUCCGGGUGAGGAGAAAGG
ncrna:unclassified sequences RAGATH-10 RNA